GCCGGGAUGGCGAAACUGGCAGACGCAGCGGACUUAAAAUCCGCAGGACCGAAAGGUCUGUGGGGGUUCAAGUCCCCCUCCCGGCACCA
rnacentral:tRNA from 1 species